rnacentral:rRNA from 1 species
CGUCCAGACUCCUACGGGAGGCAGCAGUGGGGAAUAUUGCACAAUGGGGGAAACCCUGAUGCAGCGACGCCGCGUGAGCGAUGAAGUAUUUCGGUAUGUAAAGCUCUAUCAGCAGGGAAGAAAAUGACGGUACCUGACUAAGAAGCCCCGGCUAACUACGUGCCAGCAGCCGCGGUAAUACGUAGGGGGCAAGCGUUAUCCGGAUUUACUGGGUGUAAAGGGAGCGUAGACGGCCAUUCAAGCCAGAUGUGAAAGCCCGGGGCUCAACCCCGGGACUGCAUUUGGAACUGUGUGGCUAGAGUGUCGGAGAGGCAGGCGGAAUUCCUAGUGUAGCGGUGAAAUGCGUAGAUAUUAGGAGGAACACCAGUGGCGAAGGCGGCCUGCUGGACGAUGACUGACGUUGAGGCUCGAAAGCGUGGGGAGCAAACAGGAUUAGAUACCCUGGUA